rnacentral:piRNA from 1 species
UUAUUCCGAAUUGUUGCAUCG